rnacentral:rRNA from 1 species
GACGAACGCUGGCGGCGUGCUUAACACAUGCAAGUCGAACGGAAAGGCCCUGCUUUUGUGGGGUGCUCGAGUGGCGAACGGGUGAGUAACACGUGAGUAACCUGCCCUUGACUUUGGGAUAACUUCAGGAAACUGGGGCUAAUACCGGAUAGGAGCUCCUGCUGGAUGGUGGGGGUUGGAAAGUUUCGGCGGUUGGGAUGGACUCGCGGCUUAUCAGCUUGUUGGUGGGGUAGUGGCUUACCAAGGCUUUGACGGGUAGCCGGCCUGAGAGGGUGACCGGCCACAUUGGGACUGAGAUACGGCCCAGACUCCUACGGGAGGCAGCAGUGGGGAAUAUUGCACAAUGGGCGGAAGCCUGAUGCAGCAACGCCGCGUGCGGGAUGACGGCCUUCGGGUUGUAAACCGCUUUCGCCUGUGACGAAGCGUGAGUGACGGUAAUGGGUAAAGAAGCACCGGCUAACUACGUG